GUCAGCAGUAUAAAAAAGAAAAGUUUCUUGAAAACCCAAACACAAAUUCAGAAGAACCAUGAUUUUUGCAGAGUAGGAUCCUUGCACAUGGAGGGAUCAAGGACCUUUGCAUCAUUAGCCUUGUAAAUGAAAAGGAAAGCAGAAUAAUGAUAUUGGAAAAUACAAAACAACCUGGUGUGGUGCAUGUGGGACACCUGAUGAUGACUCCAGUGAAUGUUGCUGCUGCUCAGUCAACAUCAUAAGGAAGAAUAUCAACUCUCUGGUGUCUGUGGGUAGUUUUCUUCUCAUUCUUCACCUGAAAAGAAGACAACUGUUUCCUUAUCCCAGAGGGGUCUCUAACUUAAGGGUUGGAUUUGAUGGCCCACAGGGAUCAGCUAAAUGUGACUAUCCUUCAUUUACAGAUGUGUGACAUCUGUGUCUGAGCUGCUAUCACAGGGCAGUUCGUGCAGAAACUUCUCAGAAAAUUUCUGGUUUGUAUGGUCAUGUACCAUGGUCAUGUGAGGUGAUCCAAGGUAACUGGCUUUCUGGGAGACAAUGCCAUCCUUGUAAAAGGUCUGUAGCAGAAGAAAAUGUGGUUUUUUUUACAUUGCUUCAAAUAUGAUAUGCGGUUUUUACACUGUGAAUAACAUCCUUUAAUAUCUAUAUUUGGCUUAGCAACUACAAUAAAUCUGACUCUGGAACAUAAGCCUAGAGACCG
rnacentral:lncRNA from 1 species